GACGAACGCUGGCGGCGUGCUUAACACAUGCAAGUCGAACGGAAAGGCCCUGCUUUUGUGGGGUGCUCGAGUGGCGAACGGGUGAGUAACACGUGAGUAACCUGCCCUUGACUUUGGGAUAACUUCAGGAAACUGGGGCUAAUACCGGAUAGGAGCUCCUGCUGCAUGGUGGGGGUUGGAAAGUUUCGGCGGUUGGGGAUGGACUCGCGGCUUAUCAGCUUGUUGGUGGGGUAGUGGCUUACCAAGGCUUUGACGGGUAGCCGGCCUGAGAGGGUGACCGGCCACAAUGGGACUGAGAGACGGCCCAGACUCCUACGGGAGGCAGCAGUGGGGAAUAUUGCACAAUGGGCGGAAGCCUGAUGCAGCGACGCCGCGUGCGGGAUGACGGCCUUCGGGUUGUAAACCGCUUUCGCCUGUGACGAAGCGUGAGUGACGGUAAUGGGUAAAGAAGCACCGGCUAACUACGUG
rnacentral:rRNA from 1 species